rnacentral:lncRNA from 1 species
GGGCACUAGCUACGAGAUAUAUAAAAAAUCUAAAGUUUGAUUUUUUUUCUGUUCAAUCAAUAAUGAAAGUGAAAUAGUGAAAUAACAAUUCGACUUUUGCAGCCAAAAAGGUUCAAUUUUGUCAAAUUACGCUAAGAAACAUUGAUAAUUAGUAAUUCACUUGCAAGUGAAUGAGUUGACCUCUUUAAAUCCGUAUUCAUGUGAACUUCAAUUUAACCCCUAGCUAGAGAUUGACAACGCAUACAUUGUAUGUGUACUGGUUAUUUAAAGAAAAAGAAUGUCAA